UCCCCGUUGCCGAGGCGGUCUCGCAAGAAAAAUAUAACUUGCGACGAGGGUUGCGCUCGUUAAGGGACUUAACCCUACAUCUCACGACACGAGCUGACGACGGCCAUGCAGUACCUGUCACCGAUCCAGCCGAGCUGACUCCCACAUUUCUGUGGGAUACGAUCGGGAUGUCAAGCCUUGGUAAGGUUCUUCGCGUGUCAUCGAAUUAAACCACACGCUCCACCGCUUGUGCGGGUCCCCGUCAAUUCCUUUGAGUUUUAAGCUUGCGCUCGUACUCCCCAGGCGGGAUGCUUAACGCGUUAGCUUCGCUACUGAGCGGGUCGAUACGCCCAACAGCUAGCAUCCAUCGUUUACGGCGUGGACUAC
rnacentral:misc_RNA from 1 species